rnacentral:rRNA from 1 species
CCUACGGGUGGCAGCAGUGGGGAAUAUUGCACAAUGGGGGGAACCCUGAUGCAGCGACGCCGCGUGGGUGAAGGAGUAUUUCGGUAUGUAAAGCCCUAUCAGCCGGGAAGAACAAUGACGGUACCUGCCUCAGAAGCACCGGCUAAAUACGUGCCAGCAGCCGCGGGAAUACGGAUGGUGCAGGCGUUAACCGGAUUUACUGGGUGUAAAGGGAGCGCAGGCGGCGCGUUAAGCCUGGUGUGAAAGUCCGCGGCCCAACCGCGGGACUGCAUUGGGAACUGGCGCGCUGGAGUGCCGGAGGGGUAGGCGGAAUGCCUGGUGUAGCGGUGAAAUGCGUAGAUAUUAGGAGGAACCCCAGUGGCGAAGGCGGCCUACUGGACGAUGACUGACGCUGAGGCUCGAAAGCGUGGGGAGCAAACAGGAUUAGAUACCCGAGUAGUC